GGUCGCUCCUAAGAAACCAUUAAUAUAACAAAAGCUGUCAAAAGAUAUGAAGGAAGAAAGGAUGGUACUUUUUGGUUAUGAGGUGGGGUGACUGGAAAGCAGAAGGUGGAAUCAUCUGAAGGGCACUCACUCGCUUGUCUGGUGGUUGAUGCUGACUGUUGGCUGGGACCAACGUGGGGCUGUGGCUGGAACACCUACAUGUGGCCCUUCGUACGGCUGCUCAUCUUCCCCACAAUAUGGUGGCUGGGUUCCAAAGGUAGCCGCAAAGCAUUGCCCAGGUGCCAAGAGAGGAAAAAUGGACUCUAUCUCUUGAUGGAGCAAAUACGGAAAAUUGCCCAGAUCCUCUUGGCUGCCCAGCUGCAUACUGAAGACAACCAUGAGACAUUUCGUUUUAGCUCAGUCAACAUUUUGUUCUUCAGAAAUUUGUUAAAGACUUGAAACUUUUUCCAGUCUGUUCUCUCCCAUCACUACAACGCCAAAGUAACAAAAGGAGCAAGAAUCGAGGAAGUGUGGAAAGUGCAUGCGUGGAGGAUGGAUGACUUUCUUUGAUUUUGCCGAAAGGAGAGAUGAGAACAUGAUAAAUAAGGCAGAAGAAUUGCUUUGACUGGAGAUUUCGAAACCGUUAUCUCCCUCUUCCCCUGCAUUUUGAAUGUGGCUCUGUGUACAUCUGAAAGCUGGAGGUUAUUACAGAAGAUUGAGCAGAGUCCCCUGUGCUGUACAGUAGGUCCCUGUUGGUUUUCUAUGUUAUAUAUGGCAGUGUGUACACGCUCUGCCCCUGUCUCCUGCAUACCCACUGCCACUGUCCAGACUUCCGGCAUCCUUCUCCAGGACACUUCAGGUAACGCCUGUGUGCAUUCACUAUCCUGCAGAGAAUGUUCUUCCUCCAAUAUUCUCCAUUCAGAACUCCCCAGGAGAGAAACCAAGAUCUCUGGCUCUCAGCACCAUCUCGGCACCUUGAAAAGCCAGCACCAUCUCGGCACCUUGAAAAGCCAGCACCAUCUCACUAGUCACAUGAGGGCACCAUCUUGGAAGCAAAUCCUCCAGCCCUCUGCUAAUCAUCAUUACCCACCAGCUACUCCCCAGCUAACACUGCAUGGAGGAGAGACAAGCCUUUCCCAGGAGUCUCGCCCAAAUUGAAGAUUUAUGAGGAAGAGGGGAAAAAUGCUAUUGUUUUAAGCCACUGUUUUAACUAAACUAUAUGACUUUAACUCUAAAGGGCCUGACUGUCCUCUGAAUCCCUCAGUACCACUCAUCUGUCAUUGAACUCUGCUAUCUUGAGUUAGAAAUUAUUUUUUCUUGUGUUUAGAGACUACCUUACCAACUCAGUAAUUAGCUUCUUGGAGACAGGUAUCUUAGACUACAUUUGUGGAGUUUGCUGUAUCUUGUAGCACAGUGACUUUU